CAUGUAGUACACGUGUGUGUACAUGUAGUCUUCUUUUUGUCCUUGCUAUGAACCUUGUGGCCUGUAGAGGACACUAGAGGACAUGUUGGUCGUAUUCUUGUCCUUGUAGACGAGCUGGUCUUCAUGUCCUCUCACUGUCUCUGUCUUUUAGACUUGUUCCAGUUCACAGUGUCCAUCGACUUCGUCCGUCUUUCAGUCCAAAGCAAAGCUGGUGAUUGAUGACGGCACCGGUGAGGCUCACGUGUGGUUCUCAGGCGCUCUGGUUCCUCCUCUGCUGGGAUUGGCUGAUUCUAAGUGGGAGGGGCUUCAGAGAGCGCUAAGAGUCAGAGGUCACGUCCGCGUCUACCCCCGGGGGCGGAGCUUGGUGUGCGACUCUGAUGACCCUCUCCUCCACUUCCUGUUGUGUGUGUACAGCAGUGAUGUUGUGUGUGUGAUGUUGUGUGUCGCCA